GUCUCCUCGAAAGUAGAUUUUAUGGGGAGUCAGACCUGCCCAGUGACAUAUUUGUUAAACGGCCGCGGUACCCUAACCGUGCAAAGGUAGCAUAAUCAUUUGCCUUUUAAAUGGAGGCUUGUAUGAAUGGUUUGACGAGAGCCCAGCUGUCUCUUUUAAAAUAUUUAGAAAUUAACUUUUAGGUGAAGAGGCCUAAAUUUAGUUGAGGGACAAGAAGACCCUGUUGAGCUUUAGUAUUAUUGAGUUUUAUUUAUUAUUUUUCAUUUAUGAAAUUUUUUGGCUUAAUGAUUCUUUAGUUGGGGCGACUGAGGAACAUGAAAAGCUUCCUUGAAAUGUUGCAUUAGUUUUAUUUAUUUAAAUUAUAGUGAUCCGAUUUUUGUCGAUUAAGAGAAAAAGUUACCACAGGGAUAACAGCGUAAUCUUUCUGGAGAGAUCAAAUCGAAAGAAGGGUUUGCGACCUCGAUGUUGGACUAAGGUAUCCUAAGGGUGUAGCAGCUCUUAAGGGUUGGUCUGUUCGACCAUUAAAACCUU
rnacentral:rRNA from 1 species